GACGAACGCUGGCGGCGUGCUUAACACAUGCAAGUCGAACGGAAAGGCCCUGCUUUUGUGGGGUGCUCGAGUGGCGACCGGGUGAGUAACACGUGAGUAACCUGCCCUUGCCUUUGGGAUAACUUCAGGAAACUGGGGCUAAUACCGGAUAGGAGCUCCUGCUGCAUGGUGGGGGUUGGAAAGUUUCGGCGGUUGGGGAUGGACUCGCGGCUUAUCAGCUUGUUGGUGGGGUAGUGGCUUACCAAGGCUUCGACGGGUAGCCGGCCUGAGAGGGUGACCGGCCAAAUUGGGACUGGGAUACGGCACAGACUCGUACGGGACGGAGCAGUGGAGUAUAUUGCACAAUGGGAGGAAGCCUGAUGCAGCAAAGCCGCGUGCGGGAUGACGGCCUUCGGGUUGUAAACCGCUGUCGCCUGUGACGAAGCGUGAGUGACGGUAACGGGUAAAGAAGCACCGGCUAACUACGUG
rnacentral:rRNA from 1 species